CCUGUACACAGGACCAAAAGUGCAGGCACAUCAUUUAUUGAUAAGACAAAAAGAAUGUAAUGAAAUUAUCAAUGUUCUUGAAUUAAUUAUGAACAUGAUUAAGAAAGCUAAAAUCUCAGGAGCCAGGACCUCAUUACCCAUUCAGUCUUAGGGAUUGCUUUCAUUCAGCAAGGCAAAAAGGAGUUGAGCGGCCACAAUCGCCUUCCUCUCAUUUAUUUGUGCUAGAAUUAAGGUUUAUUUGUUUUCUGUUUCCUUCGUCUUCAGAUUGUUUCUCUGUCUCCAUCCAUUUCACAAACCCCUUUCCUCCUGUAUCUCAGAAGGGAGCACCUCCAGGGCCUACAUUUCUGCAGCCCGCACACCUCCUUGAGUGUGUGUCUCUCAGUCUGCUGGAGCUUCUAAAUAUCUCUCAAGCUUUUACGUCCGUACAGAAAUAUGAUAACGGGGAAAUCAUUUUUGACUCCCUUGCUUUGGUGAUACAGCCGCAGACUCAAUGACCUAACAUCCAUCCCAAAGACAAAGCGAAGACCCGAGCAACACUGUCUUCAAGGUAAGAGGAAGGAGACCCUCUGGACACUGGCACAUGGGAGAAGCCAUCCCCCCAAUUUAUAAUGAAUGAACGUCGGAGUAAAUCUCUUCAUUAACCAGAUAGAGCUUUCACUCCCAGGUGGAGAGCAUUAUAGACCACACGUGCUCAAAAUGAAGAAAACAAUUGAUAACAGCUGUGCCUGUCAAGCAUUCGGGAACGCCACAAAACCACCAAGGAGCCGACUCCAACACAAUCACACUAGGGUCUCUAUUCAAGCUGUCUUGGGCCACGCCACCAUCUCUUAUUCAGCUGGAUGGGAGGGUGAAGCUCUCAGAGGGACAAGGUUUGCUAGGAAAUGGCAACACUGAAGGAUGAAAUACUGCGGGUUAAUGUGACAGCGAUUAGUCAGAGGGAAAUCCAUCACCCACUGGCGGAACAGGCUGAAGCAGAAGAGGCCCAGGCGCUGUCCUGUUUCCAACCUGAGAAGAACGAUGCUGUCAACAUCACUUCAAUAUUAAAUGGAUAGAAUUAUCUUGUCGUUCAGUUACAGCCGCUGAAGAACUACCUAUUUGUACCUGCAAAAGGAAAGGAAUCUGCGAAUGGAGAAGCUGCAUUUAGAACAUGUUUGCAGAAUAUUUUGACCCAGUGUUUUCUCUGUUGGUGACUGGCAAUCUCCCAUCUUUGAUUUUGCUCCUAAGCAAGUGUAACAGUGGAAAUACUCGCUUGAGAAUAAGGCUAAAGUGUGUUCCAGUGUUGGCAGAUUGAAAGGCAGUGACCUACAGAUGCAAGAAAAUCCCACAUGUCACAAUAAAGAGACCGGAAAAUAUUUCCAAGUGCACAGAUAGACUGGGGGAAAGUCCUUCAGAUCAGGGAUGCAGGGUUUAACAUAGAAUACACAUGGAAAUCUGAAAGCUAAAAUGAAGGUACUAGGAUCACAAGAAGCUAAGGGGUAUGUAUUCAUUUUAUUUGAUCUUGACCCAAGACCAUGACAUGGUGCCAUGCACAUUCAGAUUGUACCUUCAUCUCAAUUAAACCUCACUGGGAGCCCCCUCAUAGCAAUGCCCAUGGACAUGUCUUGUUCAUCAGAGAACCUUCCUUUGCAUCGGAUGACAGUCAACAGAUGCACUCUCGAACGGUCAAAGUGCAGAACACACUUAACGGCGGAGUGCUCAGCCCUAACUAACGUCUGCAUUAGAUCUCUUCACUCCGAGACUCUGAGAACACCACAGAGGAGCCGCCAUCAUGGUUUGAAGAGACAGAGACAGUGGAGGGCUUGUGUGAGAGAGUGUCUUCUGGGCAUGAAAGGGCUCUUACAUCUGAGCUUUCAAGAUAGGAUUGCCCGAGUAGGAUGUGCACCAGAUUCCUCAAAGAUCAAAGAUGGGAGGGACUCCUGAGCUACCACCCUCUCUGGAGUACUAUUGGUGGUUCAUGAAUGCUGGCGUGACUGGAAUCAUUUCUCUUUGGAAGCACGGUCAUUGAUAGGUUUUCCACACUGUCAUGGAUUGCCCCAUGUCUAUGUGCAGGAAUCUACCUUUGUUUUUCUGCUUUAAAUAUUCAGUUUUCCAUAUGAAUGUCUCUGGGUUUUGGUUCCUCCGUAAUUCUUUCACUAGAGUUUUUGUUGUGGAGGGUUUCACUGCUUCAGUUACACUCAUUUCUACCUAUUUUACUGGGAUGAAUUUUACUGCUACUGCUGUUGUUUUUGUCCUUCCCCUCCCCAGAAGUGGGGACAGAACCUAUGGCUUUGAGAAUGCCAGACAUGCGCUGUGCCACUGGGCUUCACUCCAGCCUAUUUAUUAUUUGAUCAGGGGCUAUGGUGAAUUUUUUUUAAUUGUUAGUGUGUUCGUGGUAUAUAAAAUGUUUCUAUUUGUUGCUUGUGUUUCCUAUGACUACUGAGUUUUUCUCUUCCAACACAUUUUAGUCAGUCUUCUCUGUAUAUAAAAUCUUCCCGCAAAAGAGGUUGAUCUGACACCCUCUUUUCUGAUCGAAAAUCUUAUUAUUAUUUUAUUCCUUUCUUCUGAUGAAUUUUCUUACAAAAUUUCCUUUUUCUGUUCCAAAUAAGAGGCAAAUGUAUGUGGACAUCUUUUUUUUUUUCAGAUCUCAGAGGAAACACCUUCAUCUUCUUUCACUUAGCACACAGAAGCAGUGGCUUUAUCAUAUCUAGACCUUUGUGUAGUGAGGUAUCUUCCUCCUACACUUAAUCUCUUCUGGCUUUUUUUUUCAUAAAAGCAUGUUUAACUUCAAUGAAUACUUUUACUGCACCCACUAAUGAAAUUACUUCGAUCCUCUCCUUUGCUGUUGUGAUAUAUUUUGACUUUCCAUUUGUGCGUGUUAAGCCAUCCUUGUAUCUCUGGAAUAAACUCUAUUUAACAAGGUACAUUAUCUUUUUUAUGUGUUCAUUAGUCCAUUUCCCACUUAAAGGAGGAAUGGCUUAUUUGUUCCUGUGGUUUCACAUCAUUGUUGGUCCAUUGCGUUUUGGUUUACAAAAUAGAAACAUCGUGAUUAAAAGGCAUGAGGGCAAAGCAGAGCGGCUCUCUCACCUCACAGUAUCCAAGAAGAGGACAGAGAUAGGAAAAGGGUGAGGGAACAAGAUGCUCCCUUGAAGGGCACAGCCCAGUGACCAACUUCUAACCAGACCCACUUCCUAGGAUUUCUGCCACCUCAUAACAGCACUAAGAAUUAAGGAUAUUUUUAAUAUAUAAGCCUUGGGGGAAUAUUCGAUAUCUAAGCAUUAAUCAUGUGCCUUUUGCCAGUAUCACAUUUAACCCUGAUGUUUCUUUGUUGAAUUUUAAUCUUUAUGGCUUGUCCAUUUAUGAAAGUGGACACCAAUAUCUCGAACUCUCGCUGGUUUUGAAUCUACUUUCCCUUUUUAUCUAACAACACUUUCUUUACAUAGUGUGUGUGUGUGUGUGUGUGUGUGUCUGUGUGUGUGUGUGAUAUGUGAAUUUUUUCCUGGAACAGUGCAACAGUGCAAGCAAGUACUUAUUCAUCGCAGAUAAGGCAUAGCUAUAGACCGAAGUGUGAUUCCACUGUAGACUGAUGUGGAAGACGAGUGAGUUUAUGGGCUUUCACACAGAACAUGGGUAAGCUCGAGCCAGGAACACCAAUAGAGAACCUCAGACAGUGUGUGUGCACAAUGACUUUCACAUAGGCACACCAUGCCGUUCCCUUUCCACUUAACUUUACACAGUCUGUACUCUCACACCAUCCAAGGACUACAAGCCACUGGAACAGAUGUCAGUGGUGAGGGACACAGUGGCUUAGACCACAGGUGACUAUCUAUUUGGCCUUCUCCACUCUUCCUUUUAAGAUAGUGUCAACAGGUGCAAUCAUGAAAGUGUCUUAGAGGUGACCACAGCUGCUUCUGAUGAGGACAGUAAUGGCGACUAUGCUCAGGGUCAGCUUUCUACUAUGGCUUGGAAUGGUUCUUUCUUUGUAUUCAGUUGCUCCCUCUCACUUUAUAGAGUGGUCUCCUUUAUCUUGUGUUAGUAGGUCUUAUUUGACACACAAAAUUAAUAUAAAUCAUGAUAAACACUAAAGCCUA
rnacentral:sRNA from 1 species